rnacentral:rRNA from 1 species
AAAAUAACAAUGAUUUCCCUAGUAACGGCGAGUGAAGAGGAAAGAGCUCAAAGUUGGAACCUGUUUGGCUUAGCUAAACCGGAUUGUAAACUGUAGAAACAUUUUCCAGAUACACUAGAUUAAAAAGUCCUUUGGAACAGGGCAUCAUAGAGGGUGAGAAUCCCGUCUUUGGUCUAAGUAGUUGUCUAUUGUGAUAUGUUUUCAAAGAGUCAGGUUGUUUGGGAAUGCAGCCUAAAUUGGGUGGUAAAUCUCACCUAAAGCUAAAUAUUUGCGAGAGACCGAUAGCGAACAAGUACCGUGAGGGAAAGAUGAAAAGAACUUUGAAAAGAGAGUUAAACAGUAUGUGAAAUUGUUAAAAGGGAACCGUUUGGAGCCAGAUUGGCUUGAUUGUAAUCAACCUAGAAUUCGUUUUGGGUGCACUUGCAGUCUAUGCCUGCCAACGACAGUUUGAUUUGGAGGAAAAAAUUAAUAGGAAUGUGGCCUUUCGAGGUGUUAUAGCCUAUUAUCAUACUCUGGAUUGGACUGAGGAACGCAGUGAAUGCCUUUAGGCAAGAUUGCUGGGCGCUUUCGCUAAUAAAUGUUAGAAUUUCUGCUUCGGGUGGUGCUAAUGUUUAAAGGAGGAACCCGCUUAGUAUAUUUUUUAUUCGCUUAGGUUGUUGGCUUAAUGACUCUAAAUGA